CUUAUGAAGUUAGCGGCGGACGUGGAGAGAUAACACGUGGGUAACCUGCCCAUAAGACUGGGAUAACUCCGGGAAACCGGGGCUAAUACCGGAUAACAUUUUGAACCGCAUGGUUCGAAAUUGAAAGGCGGCUUCGGCUGUCACUUAUGGAUGGACCCGCGUCGCAUUAGCUAGUUGGUGAGGUAACGGCUCACCAAGGCAACGAUGCGUAGCCGACCUGAGAGGGUGAUCGGCCACACUGGGACUGAGACACGGCCCAGACUCCUACGGGAGGCAGCAGUAGGGAAUCUUCCGCAAUGGACGAAAGUCUGACGGAGCAACGCCGCGUGAGUGAUGAAGGCUUUCGGGUCGUAAAACUCUGUUGUUAGGGAAGAACAAGUGCUAGUUGAAUAAGCUGGCACCUUGACGGUACCUAACCAGAAAGCCACGGCUAACUACGUGCCAGCAGCCGCGGUAAUACGUAGGUGGCAAGCGUUAUCCGGAAUUAUUGGGCGUAAAGCCGCGCGCAGGUGGUUUCUUAAGUCUGAUGUGAAAGCCCACGGCUCAACCCGUGGAGGGUCAUUGGAAACUGGGAGACUUUGAGUGCAGAAGAGGAAAGUGGAAUUCCAUGUGUAGCGGUGAAAUGCGUAGAGAUAUGGAGGAACACCAGUGGCGAAGGCGACUUUCCUGGUCUGUAACUUGACACUGAGGCGCGAAAGCGUGGGGAAGCAAA
rnacentral:rRNA from 1 species